CGGCCGCCGGCCAGGAUCGAGCCCUGGCCCGGGCCCUGGCCCAGCCCCGGCCUCCAAGGACCGCGCCGAAGGAGGUGCCCACUGGAGGGAGGAGGCGCUCGACUUUCUCAGGAUACUGUCCCUCUCCCACAGAGGAGCUGAAGGAGUAGGACAGAAGAACUGUCAAAUUCUGGAAUCCUUAAAGCCAUGUCCAAGGAUUUGGUGACAUUUGGGGAUGUGGCUGUAAAUUUCUCUCAAGAGGAAUGGGAAUGGCUGAACCCUGCUCAGAGGAAUUUGUACAGGAAAGUGAUGUUGGAGAACUACAGGAGCUUGGUAUCAUUGGGAGUUUCUGUUUCUAAGCCAGAUGUGAUCUCAUUAUUGGAGCAAGGAAAAGAGCCCUGGAUGGUGAAGAAGGAGGGAACAAGAGGCCCAUGCCCUGGUGAGUGAGAGAGAAAUAGGGAGACAGAAGCCAUUGCCAGGAAAAGCUCAGCAAUUCUGAAAGAUUUCAGUUCAUAAUUGACGUUUCCUGGGUAGCUCUUCUUAAAGACUCAAAGCCUGGGAAGAAAUAUUGAGGCAUCUUUAGUAUGAGCUCCUCAAUUUGUUCUCUCUGUCUAUAUUCUCUCACAAGUUACAGUCUUCUCUGACAGUAAUCUUCUCUGAUAACCCAUUUUCCUAUUGUUGGAUCCAGAUGUCACAGCAUCUCCCUGUCCUUGCCUUUUAGUUUUAUACAAGUUGCUUGGUUUCAUUUUUUAAAAAUCCAGGUGCCUGUAAUCCCAGCUCUUUGGGAAACCAGAGUGGG
rnacentral:lncRNA from 10 species